UACUAGGGUAUAUGUACCUUCAUUUGGAGUAGAAUAUAAAUCUCCUAUUCUAUUUUUAAAUUUUUUAUUUCAAAUUACCAAUGUAAGAGUUCAUGGUCCUUGAUUGUUACUAGCCUUCCAAUUACUUCAAUUGGAGAAGAAAUUCAGUAUAAGCAAUGAGUAGCUUUUGGUGCAAAUACUUAAAAGAGAAUUUUCUUUUGUUUAUAGCAAAACAACUUCAUGGUGAAGGUUCUAGUAAGAUGAUCAAUUCAAACUUUAAACCCGUGGCCAGUAAACAUGCUAGUAACAAAUACAGGAAUUCAGAAGAAUCAAGCAAUGAGGAAACAUGCUUGUUAGCAUAGUGUUCGGGGACUUAGAGAACUUGGCUUGACACCAAAUAUUCUUGCUUGUCGCAGUACAAUGGCACUUGAUGAUAAUGUCAAGUUAAAGCUCUCUCAGUUUUGCCAUGUUCCGGCCGAAAAUAUUGUCACUCUCUAUGACGUUCCAAAUAUGCUUAUGCUUGUUUUAUAUCUUAUUAUUAAAUCAUCCAUUGAACUUUGCCUGUCAAGCUCACUAUAUGUAUUUUCGUAAAUGUCCAGGACUCAUCAUGGCAUCAUGUGGGCAAUUGGAAUUGUUUUUAAACAAGUCUGAUCAUGUAAGCAACGGAGUGGCAAACGGGGUAAAUACCGAAAAAGCUUGACCGGAAAAGCAACGAAGUGCCUACAGCAGGUUAAGAGAAUAUGGAGCAAGAUGGUGUCCAAAACGUUCAAUUUAAUAUCAUGUGUGCUAUGAUAUCGGCUUUAAUUCAUUUAGAUUGCAAGAAGAGAAUGCACUAUCAACAAUACAAGACUUGGCAUUCCUUUGCAACUAUACCCAUCUACAGCAGAAGUGGGGAAAUUGGUGAAUAGUUUCUGCUUUUCUCUUUUAUUCUUAUUAUAUUGAUAAUCUAAUAUUUUCCAUAGAAU